rnacentral:lncRNA from 1 species
AAACUAAAAAUAAAAGAAAAUGGAGUGAUGACCACUAACAAUUUUCUGUCGUAGUUUCGGUAUCUAUGGGUAAUUGGCCUUUUCUUCAUCUUCUUGUUUCGUCUCCUUUGCUGUAUCUACUGCACGGAAGUUCAAUUUAAAAAAAAAAAAUGUAUAAGCGUUCUCAGACAUUCAAACUUUAAAUUGGAUGCAUCGAAUAUUGCAUGCAAUAAAAUUUGUACUUUAAGGGAAGGGCUUUACAAAAAUGUAAUUUGUAGUUUCUUUUUUAAUAUGUAUACCUCGGCAGAACAAGGGAGUUUAAAGGAAUGCUAAAAAAAUGUAACUAUUCUAUAUAUAUAAUUACGUCAACUUUUGACCUUAAAGCAAAAUAGAAAAUUAUUAUUUGAUCGAGAAUGUCAAAUACAUCUAGUGUUAAAAAUGAAUACAGAUAAAAUCAUAUAUAUAUAUAUAUAUAUCCGCUUAAUACAUAAAGAUACUAACAUUCUGCAACUAAGCAGGGGGAUGAGAACAACUAGUGCAAACAGAAGAGCUAAGAGAGUAAUAGCCUUGGUCUUCAUUUUGCUUGCAAAUUAAGAUAACCGCUAAGUCUUAACAGAGAGAGCUUCUAAAAAUGAUAUGAGCACCCGGGCUGCUUUAGCCAUUAUUUAUAGUGCCGAAGCAGCAACACAUACUGGUCACUAAGAGGAAAGUGAGCGGUUAGAAGAAAAGUGAGAGUAAUACAGUUUUUUUCCCCCCUCUUAAAAAUCUUCCAUGUACAACAUCUUAGCUGGCUGAUGAAGAUUUUGGCACCUAGUCGUAGU